UAACCGGAUAGGCCGACGGGCCGACAAGGCGGAUUCAUCACCCGCUUUCCGGUUAAUCCCUUCGUGAUGA
rnacentral:sRNA from 1 species